AAGGAAAUAAAUAACUUUAUCAAUAACUUAUUAAAUACCAACAGCAGCAAUCAAACACAAAGGAAUGUCAAUUAAAAUCGUGAACAUAUCACAGGGUCUUGAGAUGGUCCCUCUUUCCACGUCGACACCCUUCUUCAAUUCUACGAAAACAUUAAAGAAUUGAAUAUUGCAUUCUUUCCAAAUAAUAACAUCAUCAUCAUUAUAUGGUGUCGAUGUCGACUCUUGUCAAGUCUUGCGCAGAUCUCUUCUAUCUCUAAAUCGGCAAACUUCGAGAAAUUGAAUGCGUUAACGUUUGCUAUAUCAUUCAGUUUAUCACAUACUUCAAUAGAUAGCAGUUCGCAUUUAGAGCAUUUUUAGAGACCGGUCAAGUUGAUAUAGUUAAUACUUCUUUAUAAAAUCAAUUUAUUUCAAUCUUUGCAAAUUAUAUCAUACUCAAGAUGCCUUGCGGUGGAUGUGGUUCUGAUUGUAAGUGCACUGCCGAAAAGUGUGAUGAAAGGUGCAAGUGUGACCAUGCUGGCAAAUGUGGAUGCAGCGGCGCCGGUGCUGAAAAAAAGGAACCUUGCUGCAAGGAAAAGUCCAAAUAAAUAAGUUUUUUUUAUACCUAUAUAAAAAGUUGCUGAAUAUUGAACCAUAUGAGUUCUGGAGCUGUUAUUCCAUGCAUUUGUUUUGAAUAUAAAGAAAAAAAAUAUUGA